rnacentral:rRNA from 1 species
AAUAUCAACAAUGUUGAAUAAAAUUCUGGGUAAUAUUUUGAUAAUGACAAUUUUUAUCCAUAUGUCUUGACCAAAUUACGUGCCAGCAGUCGCGGUAACACGUUGAAGACUAGUGUUAUUCAUCUUUAAUAGGUUUAAAGGGUACUUAGACGGCAAAUAAAGCCUUUUGGUACUAAUUUGCUAGAGUUACUUACGAGGGGGCCUAAAAGUACUAUUGGUUUAGAGAUAAAAUUCUUCGAGACCACUUAUCUGGCACAGGUAAAGGCGAAAGCGUCUCCCUAUGUGAUAACUGACGUUGAAGGACGAAGGCUUUGAAUAGCGAAUAGGAUUAGAUACCCUAGUAGUCGAAGCAGAGAAUGAUGAGUGUCAUAAACUAGAUUUAGUUUAUAAAUGAAAGUGUAAGCACUCCACCUUAUGAGUAAAGUGGCAACGCCGGAAUUGAAAUCAUUAGACCGUUUCUGAAACCAGUAGUGAAGUAUGUUGUUUAAUUUGAUAAUCCACAAAAAACCUUACCACAACUUGAAUAUUUACAAGCGUUGCACGGCUGUCUUCAGUUAAUGUCGUGAGAUUUGGUUAGAUCCAUUAAAUUAACGUAAACCCUUGCUUUAUUUUUAAAUAAUGCAUCUCUCCACCAUAACGGAUAUGAUAAUAGGGACUAAGAC